rnacentral:rRNA from 1 species
CCUACGGGAGACAGCAGUGGGGAAUAUUGCACAAUGGGGGGAACCCUGAUGCAGCAACGCCGCGUUGGUGAAGAAGUACUUCGGUAUGUAAAGCCCUGUCAGCAGGGAAGAAAAUGACGGUACCUGACCAAGAAGCCCCGGCUAACUACGUGCCAGCAGCCGCGGUAAUACGUAGGGGGCAAGCGUUAUCCGGAUUUACUGGGUGUAAAGGGAGCGUAGACGGCAAAGCAAGUCUGGAGUGAAAGCCCGUGGCUCAACCACGGGACUGCUUUGGAAACUGUGUUGCUGGAGUGCAGGAGGGGUAAGCGGAAUUCCUAGUGUAGCGGUGAAAUGCGUAGAUAUUAGGAGGAACACCGGUGGCGAAGGCGGCUUACUGGACUGUAACUGACGUUGAGGCUCGAAGGCGUGGGGAGCAAACAGGAUUAGAUACCCCUGUAGUC